rnacentral:lncRNA from 1 species
CAGGAAGCAGAGAGAAGUAAACGCUGCUGCUCUCUUUCCCCUUUCUAUUCAGACCAGGUCCCUCAGACCAUGGGGUGCUGCCAACCACAUUCAGGUCUCGCCUCUCUCACAACACUCCUAUAGACACACCCAGAUGAGUCUCCUAGGUGACUCGAAAUCCAGUCUGACAGUAAGGAUAAACCAUCGUGGUCGUGUGAUCUGGACACCUUCUAAGGGUCGAAGCUCUUGAGACUGUGGCUGGUGCUCUGGGAGCAGCCCCAAGUGCAGAGAGUCGAGUGUGAUCUGCCCCGGGAGCUACGGCGGCCCACACUGCUAAGCACUGGCAAGCAAGAGUGUUUUCCCACACAGUCCAGAAAGGACUGAGCAGAUUCCUCAGCUGCAGACGUGUGGAAGAAUUCAGUAACAGAGAGGAACUCUCCACCCUCGUUUCUGGGACCUUUGGUAGAGUGGUUUGACUGGCAAGAAACAGGCAUCCUGACUCAUCUCCACCAGGCCAACAAGCUCUGGAAGAGUGUCGUAGACUCACAGCCACUCGCUUGCUAGCUCUCUCUGGCAUCCCAGCAUCUGUGAUUAAACCCUG